GAAGCACGGAGGGCUCCGUGCUUCCACUUUGUUUUCGAUGUUCGGACUUUCAAAUCGACGAUCGGCUCCGUUAGAUUUGAUCUAGAGUAUUUGAAGUAUCUAGAAAAUAAAUUUUGCGAUUUUUCGAUAUCAUUUGCCUAGUGAUCGAAGUGGCUCAAAAUCAACGGCUGAAAAUAAAAAUUUUACAAAAUAUGAUGAUAUGACAAUAAAAUUUUAGAUCAAAAUUAUUGAUCUUAUUUUAUAUAGUAUAAAGAAUUUUCUGUCAAAAUUUCAUGUGAUUUGGAUAUUUCUACACCGUUAAACUUGCAACCGGCUCACCACAGUCGUUAAAAUUAUUGAUUUUGAGCCCCUUCGAUCAUUAGGCAAAUGAUAUCGAAAAAUUACAAAAUUUAUUUUCUAGGUACUUCAAAUACUCUAGAUCAACUCUAACAAAGCCGAUCGUCGAUUCGAAAGUCCGAACAUCGAAAACAACUUGGAAGCACGAUGGGCUCCGUGCUUCCAUAAGCAUACCAGCCCACUCAUAUAUAUAUAUAUAUAUAUAUAUAUGUAUAUAUAUAUAUAUAUAUAUAUAUAUAUAUGUAUAUAU
rnacentral:lncRNA from 1 species